rnacentral:rRNA from 1 species
GAUGAACGCUGGCGGCGUGCCUAAUACAUGCAAGUCGAGCGAACGGACGAGAAGCUUGCUUCUCUGAUGUUAGCGGCGGACGGGUGAGUAACACGUGGAUAACCUACCUAUAAGACUGGGAUAAUUUCGGGAAACCGGAGCUAAUACCGGAUAAUAUUUUGAACCGCAUGGUUCAAAAGUGAAAGACGGUCUUGCUGUCACUUAUAGCUGGAUCCGCGCUGCAUUAGCUAGUUGGUAAGGUAACGGCUUACCAAGGCAACGAUGCAUAGCCGACCUGAGAGGGUGAUCGGCCACACUGGAACGGGAACACGGUCCAGACUCCUACGGGAGGCAGCAGUAGGGAAUCUUCCGCAAUGGGCGAAAUCCUGACGGAGCAACGCCGCGUGAGUGAUGAAGGUCUUCGGAUCGUAAAACUCUGUUAUGAGGGAAGAACAUAUGUGUAAGUAACUGUGCACAUCUUGACGGUACCUAAUCAGAAAGCCACGGCUAACUACGUG